rnacentral:lncRNA from 1 species
UGUCCCCCCCGUCCCCAGACGACGGCGCUGACGCAGGGCCUGGAGCGCGUCCCCGACCAGCUGGGAUACCUCGUCAUCUGCGAUGGCGCCGUGCUGGCCGUGAGCGGGGACACUGGGGACACUGGGGGACAUUUGGGGACAUUGGGGACAUCUGGGGAUAUUUGGGGACAUUGGGGAUGGGGAUAUUUGGGGACACUGGGGACCUUUGGGGAUGUUUGGGGACCUUUGGGGACACUAGGGGAUGGGGAUAUCUGGGGACUUUGGGGACAUUAGGGACAUUUGGGGACAUCUGGGGACAUUUGGGGACACUUGGGGACAUUGGGAACCGGGAUAUUUGGGGACACUGGGGAUGUUUGGGGACAUCUGGGGACGUUUGGGAAGCUUUAGGGACACUAGGGGAUGGGGAUAUUUGGGGACAUUGGAGACCUUUGGGGAUAUCGGGCACUUCGGGACAUGUGGGGACACUUGGGGACAUUUGGGGACAUUUGGGGAAGGGGAUAUUUGGGGACACUGGGGAUGUUUGGGGACCUUUGGGGACAUCUGGGGACACUUGGGGACAUUGGGAAUGGGGAUAUUUGUGGAUACUUGGGACAUCUGGGGACGUUUGGGGACAUCUGGGGACAUUGGGGAUGGGGACAUUUGGGGACACUUGGGGACAUCCGGGGAUGUUUGGGGACAGGGAUAUUUGGGGUCUUUGGGGACAUC